rnacentral:snoRNA from 1 species
UGCAUCAGUGAUGAUAUGUUGGCUCCCUCUACUGAACUCUCUGUGGAAACCCGCCAAUCGUUACCCAAUUUGUGUCUGAGAUGUU